rnacentral:rRNA from 1 species
AACGAACGCUGGCGGCAUGCCUAACACAUGCAAGUCGAACGAGACCUUCGGGUCUAGUGGCGCACGGGUGCGUAACGCGUGGGAACCUGCCCUUAGGUUCGGAAUAACUCCCCGAAAGGGGUGCUAAUACCGGAGAAUGUCUUCGGACCAAAGAGUUAUCGCCUUUGGAUGGGCCCGCGUUGGAUUAGCUAGUUGGUAGGGUAAAAGCCUACCAAGGCGACGAUGCAUAGCUGGUCUGAGAGGAUGAUCAGCCACACUGGGACUGCGACACGGCCCAGACUCCUACGGGAGGCAGCAGUGGGGAAUAUUGGACAAUGGGCGAAAGCCUGAUCCAGCAAUGCCGCGUGAGUGAUGAAGGCCUUAGGGUUGUAAAGCUCUUUUACCCGGGAUGAUAAUGACAGUACCGGGAGAAUAAGCUCCGGCUAACUCCGUG